rnacentral:rRNA from 1 species
UGWAAGCGUAAAMCAAAGUUGUURCAGUUAAAACGCUYGUAGUMRGAUUUUGGCGGGCGAUSUGGGGCGUCUUAACCGACGAUCUCAUGUCGGCUGCCUUUGUGGAGGGAGGCCUAGUGGUGCUUUAUUGCAUUGCUUGGUUUCUGCCACCGUUUACUGUGAAAAAAUUAGWGUGUUCAAAGCGGGCGUUUGCCAUGAAUACAUUAGCAUGGAAUAAUAGAAUAGGACCUGUUUCCUGUUUUGUUGGUUUGUGAGGAUCGGGUAAUGAUUAAGAGGGACGGUUGGGGGCAUUUGUAUUCCGGCGUCAGAGGUGAAAUUCUUGGAUUGGCGGAAGACAAACAGCUGCGAAAGCGUCUGCCAAGGACGUUUUCAUUGAUCAAGAACGAAAGUAAGGGGAUCGAAGACGAUCAGACACCGUCGUAGUCUUUACUAUAAACGAUGAGGACUGGAGAUCGGGUGAGACUGUUUUUGGCUCACCCGGCAUCCUUCGGGAAACCAAAGUAUUUGCUUUCUGGGGGGAGUAUGGUCGCAAGGCUGAAACNUAAAGGAAUGACGAAG